rnacentral:pre_miRNA from 1 species
UCUUAUGAAUGACUAGAGAAAGUGGUCUCUUGAGAAGGAAUCUACUCUUGGUGAAGAUGCUUUGAA